CCUACGGGAGGCAGCAGUAAGGAAUCUUCCGCAAUGGGCGAAAGCCUGACGGAGCAACGCCGCGUGGGCGAUGAAGGCCUUCGGGUCGUAAAGCCCUUUUCUGUGGGACGAUAAUGACGGUACCACAGGAAUAAGCCACGGCUAACUACGUGCCAGCAGCCGCGGUAAUACGUAGGUGGCUAGCGUUAUCCGGAUUCACUGGGCGUAAAGCGCGCGUAGGCGGGUCACUAAGUCGGAUGUGAAAUCUCCACGGCUCAACCGGGAAAGUGCAUCCGAUACUGGUGGUCUUGAGGCGUGGAGAGGGAAGUGGAAUUCCUGGGGUAGCGGUGAAAUGCGUAGAUAUCAGGAGGAACACCCGUGGCGAAGGCGGCUUCCUGGCCAUGGCCUGACGCUGAGGUGCGAAAGCCAGGGGAGCGAACGGGAUUAGAUACCCCGGUAGU
rnacentral:rRNA from 1 species